rnacentral:rRNA from 1 species
CUACGGGAUGCAGCAGCUAUGAAUUUUUUACAAUGCACGAAAGUGUGAUAGAGCGAGCCAAAGUGUUUAUCUUUUUUGAUAAACUUUUGUCGACUGUAAAUAUGUCGAUGAAUAAGGACUGGGAAAGACCGGUGCCAGCCGCCGCGGUAAUACCGGCAGUUCUAGUGGCGACCAACAUUAUUGGGUCUAAAACAUCCGUAGCUUGUUUGACAAGUCUCUUGUGAAAUUUUACAUCUCAAAUGUGAAGCGGGCAAGAGAUACUGUUUAACUAGAGACCGGUAGGUGUAAGAAGUAUGUUCAAGGUAGUGAUAAAAUACGUUAAUCUUGAAUAGACUAACAAUUAGCGAAGGCAUCUUACAAGGACGGAUCUGACAGUGAGGGAUGAAGGCCAGGGGCGCAAAACGGAUUAGAUACCCCAGUAGUC